GUGGAACCUGGAAUUCAAACGGCUGGGUAGGAAGCACGCUAGCAGGGGCCUCUGGCCUUGCUGAGGGUCCCUGUUUCCCCUUUUCCUUCCUUUUCACCCAACAAAACCCUGCUUUACUCACCCUUCAAACCAUCUAUGAGCCUAAAUUGUCGUGGUCGUGGAAUGGACAAGGACCCAGUCUUUAGCUGAACUAAGGGAAAGUCCUGCUUUUUGGCGCGCAACAGGGGAGCUCAAGAAACAGGCCUCACUCACGGCAUAUGGAACUAACCACGCCCCUAACUAAGAAGGCACACCUUAGUUGCAGUUAGCACACAAUUAAAGCAACUCUCCAAGUUUUACCUUAAAGUUCAAAAUUGCUAGGAGUUGAAACUACUAGAAAUAUAUUUACAUGCAAGAGUCAAAGAAACUUUGAACUAUUUAUGGCCUUUAAUAAUUAAGUAAGGUAUACUCCUGUGAUCAAGACUUGGAGCAUAUUUGUUUCUCUCUGCCUGGUUCCUCUAGAAAUUGGAAACUAUCAGAACAGAGACCAACUCCGUUUCCCGAUCCCUUUGCAAUCUGCAUUGAACCAUGAGUCAAGUUCUUGAUAAAGGAGUGAAAAUGGUAAGUCUAAAGCAAUGAAAAGCUGCUGUAUUGACUACACAUGCCUUCAUUUCUUCUACCCUGCUUCUUUCAUGCCUGCUUAUCUGAAUGACACCAGGAUGACAUUUAAGGCACAUCUGAAGAUGGGGAAACCACAGCACAGAAUAAGGCUGGGCCCUUGAAUCAAUAAAUGAAGGAGAACUACUCAAGAGAACAAAACCACCAGCAAUAUCCACCUGUAUUUGUCUUUUCAUAAUGUGUGACACAUGUGCUCAUGGAUUAUUGUCCGAAGCAAGACAUGUGACCAAGCCUAACAUCAACUGGGUGAAGAGCUAUAUGUUCCUUUCUCAAGAGGCACUACAAGUGACAUGCCACUGGGCAGAAGGUUGAAAAGAUGAUCCAGUGAAGAAACAAGAGAAGAUGUAGCCAGGAAAUAUCUGAAGCAAACUGGUGGAUUCUGAAUGAUUAAAAAUAAUAAUAACCAAAGAGAAAAGAAGUAGUGGAUGAGGUUGGCAGAGAUGAGGAACUGCCAUUUCUCCAAAGCUCUGAACCAAAAGCAAAGACUCAUUUGAAUGUUUUACCAAGCUUGAGUACUUUACAAAACUUGAAAGUGUGCAAGAGCAAAGAGGUAUCAUUUAGCACACUAUAAAUAGCAUCUUCUUUAAAAAUGUUGUACACAUUUCUCAUAUUUGAAAGUAAAUAACCUGAGAUUUAAAACAUCUGUCAAACAAUCUGUGAAUGUUAUGUGCCAUUUUAAUACAUUUUGACAUUAUUUCAUGUUGAAACAUACUUUCUCUGAUUGUAUUGACUGGAUUAUAUAGAACCUCUUUGACUGACUUAGUCUAUAACUUGCCCAGAUAAAAUGUACAUUGCAAGUAAAUAAAAUAUGGGUGAUAUGGGAAUGAAAUUUCAA
ensembl:lncRNA LINC01515 long intergenic non-protein coding RNA 1515